rnacentral:rRNA from 1 species
CCUACGGGAGGCAGCAGUGAGGAAUAUUGGUCAAUGGACGCAAGUCUGAACCAGCCAUGCCGCGUGCAGGAAGACGGCUCUAUGAGUGGUAAACUGCUUUUGUACGAGGGUAAACGCAGAUACGCGUAUCUGUCUGAAAGUAUCGUACGAAUAAGGAUAGGCUAACUCCGUGCCAGCCGCCGCGGUAAUACGGAGGAUUCAAGCGUUAUCCGGAUUUAUUGGGUUUAAAGGGUGCGUAGGCGGUCGGAUAAGUUAGAGGUGAAAUCCCGAGGCUCAACUUCGGAAUUUCCUCUGAUACUGUUCGGCUAGAGAGUAGUUGCGGUAGGCGGAAUGUAUGGUGUAGCGGUGAAAUGCUCAGAGAUCAUACAGAACACCGAUUGCGAAGGCAGCUUACCAAGCUACUUCUGACGUUGAGGCACGAAAGCGUGGGGAGCAAACAGGAUUAGAUACCCCAGUAGUC